AACACCUUACCCACCUUUGACAUGUACGGAAUUUGCCAGAGAUGGCUUAGUGCUCGAAAGAGAGCCGUAACACAGGUGCUGCAUGGCUGUCGUCAGCUCGUGUCGUGAGAUGUUGGGUUAAGUCCCGCAACGAGCGCAACCCUUGUCAUUAGUUGCUACGAAAGGGCACUCUAAUGAGACUGCCGGUGACAAACCGGAGAAAGGUGGGGAUGACGUCAAGUCCUCAUGGCCCUUAUAGGUGGGGCUACACACGUCAUACAAUGGCCGGUACAAAGGGUCGCAAACCCGCGAGGGGGAGCUAAUCCAUCAAAGCCGGUCGUAGUCCGGAUCGCAGUCUGCAACUCGACUGCGUGAAGUCGGAAUCGCUAGUAAUCGUGGAUCAGCAUGUCACGAUGAAUACGUUCCCGGUUCUUGUACACACCGCCCGUCACACCAUGGGAGCGGGUCUCGCCAGAAGUAGUUAGCCUAACCGCAAGAAGGGCGAUUACCACGCGGGGUUCGUGACUGG
rnacentral:rRNA from 1 species